GACGAACGCUGGCGGCGUGCCUAACACAUGCAAGUCGAGCGGAGUCGAUCGACGGAAGCCUUCGGGCGGAAGAUGGUUGACUUAGCGGCGGAUGGGUGAGUAACGCGUGGGCAACCUGCCUCGAAGACCGGGAUAACAGCCCGAAAGGGCUGCUAAUACCGGAUGAGUUCAUGUUAUUGCAUAGUGACAUGAAGAAAGGGGAGACCCGCUAUGAGAUGAGCCCGCGUCCCAUUAGCUAGUUGGUGGGGUAAAGGCCUACCAAGGCGACGAUGGGUAGCCGGCCUGAGAGGGUGGACGGCCACACUGGGACUGAGACACGGCCCAGACUCCUACGGGGGGCAGCAGUAGGGAAUCUUCGGCAAUGGGCGGAAGCCUGACCGAGCGACGCCGCGUGAGGGACGAAGGCCUUCGGUUGUAAACCUCUGUCUGGGGGACGGAGUAAGGACGGUACCCCGGACGGAAGCCCCGGCGUAACUACGUGCCAGCAGCCGCGUAAGAGUAGUACA
rnacentral:rRNA from 1 species